rnacentral:lncRNA from 1 species
CAUUAUUUAAAACUCUUUACUGAUGUACACAUUUUAAUAAAAUCAAAUAACCAAAAAAUAAAAAUACACAAAGCCACAGUUACUUAAAACAUAGGAUUUUUUUUAAGUCUAUAAAAAUACAAUGUUUAAGGCAGUUUGGAAAUGCAUUUAUACAUUUCUACAAUGUUCAUAAAUUCUCUUGAAAAUAAGAAUGUUAACUUCAAAUCUAUAAAAUACACUGUACAUUUUUAAACUGUUCUAGAUAGAGCAAACUUCACAAUUGAUGGUGGUUCUGGAUCCCUGGUGACAAAUGGAUUCUUUACAUUUCAGGCAAGAAAGGUGUACCAUGGAUGUGGAAUCAUAAAGAGGCUUUCAUAAAUGGCAGUGCAGAGCUCUUUUAAAUAAAAACUUGCAUUGUUCAACACCACUAGCAACUCUCUAGAUAGCAUUUUUGGAUCCUUAAUCCUAAGCAAUGUGCUAAGAGAUUUGAGUGGUGGCAAUGAAAUUAAAGUCAAGGGCUCAAAACUAUCCAAACUCAGGAAAAUUAACCCUUCUCAUGCCCUCACCUCCCCCGC